rnacentral:rRNA from 1 species
GAUGAACGCUGGCGGCGUGCCUAAUACAUGCAAGUCGAGCGAACAGACGAGGAGCUUGCUCCUCUGACGUUAGCGGCGGACGGGAGAGUAACACGUGGAUAACCUACCUAUAAGACUGGGAUAACUUCGGGAAACCGGAGCUAAUACCGGAUAAUAUAUUGAACCGCAUGGUUCAAUAGUUAAAGACGGUUUUGCUGUCACUUAUAGAUGGCUCCGCGCCGCAUUCGCUAGUUGGUAAGGUAACGGCUUACCAAGGCAACGAUGCGUAGCCGACCUGAACGGGUGAUCGGCCACACUGGAUGUGAGACUCGGCCCAGACUCCGACAGGGGGCAGCAGUAGGGAAUCCUCCGCGAUGGGCGAAAGCCUGACGGAGCAACGCCGCGUGAGUGAUGAAGGUCUUCGGAUCGGAAAGCUCUGUUAUUAGGGAAGAAGAAAUGUUUAAGUACCUAGGCACGUCUUGACGGUACCUAAUCAGAAAGCUACGGCUAACUACGUG